AACGAACGCUGGCGGCAUGCCUAACACAUGCAAGUCGAACGAGACCUUCGGGUCUUGUGGCGCACGGGUGCGUAACGCGUGGGAACCUGCCCUUAGGUUCGGAAUAACUCCCCGACAGGGGUGCUAAUACCGGACAAUGUCUUCGGACCAAAGAUUUAUUGCCUUUGGAUGGGCCCGCGUUGGAUUAGCUGGUUGGUAGGGUAAAAGCAUACCAAGGCGACGAUCCAUGGCUGGUCUGAGAGGAUGAUCAGCCACACUGGGACUGAGACACGGCCCAGACUCCUACGCGAGGCAGCAGUGGGGAAUAGUGGACAAUGGGCGGAAGCAUGAUCCAGCAAUGCCGCGAGAGUGAUGAAGGCCUUAGGGUUGUAAAGCCCUUUUAACCGGGAUGAUAAUGACAGUACCGGGAGAAUAAGCUCCGGCUAACUCCGUG
rnacentral:rRNA from 1 species